AGCAAAGACGUCUGAUCGAAGAAGAAAAGCUGUCGUGUUUACAUGGGUGAGAAUGAGCAUUUAUCAAGAUCAGCUAAACACUGGAUUCUCAGAAGUAUGCGAGGUUCACGGCAUAGACUCUUUAAAAGACGUCCAAGAGUUUUGCUUGAGGCAUUUAUUGGAAUCCAAAAGAGAUAUUUUAACCUGUUUGCCGACGGAAUUUGGCAAGAGUAUUAUUUUCCAAGUCUGGCCGACCCUUUGCCAGCAUUUGGAAGGAUUCCCUACUAAUCCAGUUUUAGUAGUUGUGUACCCCCUCAUAUCGAUCAUGGAAGAUCAAGUACCUAACUGAGAUGGGGAUAUCAGCCGCAUAUGCGGGUAAGCAUGAAAGAACAGACGCUGACAUCGCAGCUGGCUGAUUCAGUCUUGUGUUCGGGUCUCCAGAAUUGCUUGUAGGUGAUCAAAAGUGGAGAGAUGUGCUCCAAACAGAUGUUUACCGGGAGUGUCUUAUCGGUAUGGCUGUUGACGAAGUGCACACAGUUGUACAAUGGGGGGAACGCCAUGGCAGUGAUGCCCCUUCAGAAAGUGGUGUGGUUUGGUUGGUGAGCUCAGAUCCCUCCUGCACAUCUCCUUACAUGUGCUGGCCCUAAUUGCUACAGUGUCUUUGACAACACGAAAUAAAAUAAUGAAGCACUUAGGACUAAGUGCUUGGAAGUUGUCAGAAGCCCCAAUCGGAGCAACAUCAGACUUGCAGUUAAAAAAGUGUCUUCUGAUGCAACAAAUACAUUUGCCUGGCUUGUCAAUGAACUUGCGGUUGAGGGUCCACAUACUGCACGUACUAUCAAUUUUGCAAAACAAUAUCUGACUGUUCAAUGCUGUUUUUUGAUGUGUUCCUUGCCUCCCUUGGACAAAGAGCAGUACACCCCCCUGGUGCUAGUAAUGUGUCAUCCAACAGAAUUGUUGACAUGUUUCAUUCAAUGACAUCAGACAGUGUGAAAAACCACAUAAUUCAGGCUCCCAGAGACACUCAGUCUGUCCUCAGAGUGGUGUUAGCCAUGUCGGCUUUGGGCAUGGGAGUGGAUUUCAAAAAUGUUCAACAUGUAGUUCAGUAUGGGCCACCAAAAGACAUUGAAACAUACAUGCAAGCAUAUGGGAGAGCAGGGAGAGAUGGCUCUAUGUCCCAUUCUCUCAUUCUGUAUCAUGGAAAGCAGCUAAUCGGCAUUUUAGAGAAAAUGCGUGAAUAUGUCAGUAAUGACAGUUCCUGCAGAAGAACUCAACUGCUGUACUGGUUUGAUGGGGAGGUUGUGCAACCCCUUGUGCUAAGAUGUGUCAGUGCAAGGACGGUUGUGAUGGUAAUGCCAGUGACCUGGAACUUCAUGCUGCAAAGCCAAUUGCACACAAACUGAGAACUAUCAGCGAUCAUCAAAGAGAAUCACUCUGUCAGAUGUUGAUGUACAGGCUUGAGGGGGAUGUGGAUCAUGGACUAUGUGGAAAUAUUUCAGUUUACCACACAUUGCAGGAACACUACUCAACAAAAGACACAAUCAUGAGUGAGACCCUGCAGUCAUGUGAGACACUGUUUAGCAUUGAUGACAUAACUUGCCGAGUUCAUGUGUACAAUCUUAAUCAGGCCAAGACCAUUCUUGAAACUAUAAUGGAUGUGUUCGGAGACUGUGAAUCAGAUGUUGACAGCAACUGUGCUGAUGACAGUGUGAAUGUCUCUGCAUUUGAUGCAUUUUCGUUAGAUGAGUGAUUUAAUCUUCUGUUAUAUGUCAAGUGUAAGAUGCAGCUUAAUUUCUUAUAUUUUUCUGUACUUCUGUACUAUUUGAUUUCAAAAAUGAAAGUGAAAUGUUAGUUGUCACUGUCAACAUGUUGAAAAUAAAACAAAUUUAAUCUUAU